UUCUUCGGGGCAGGGUGCAAUUCCCUACCGGCGGUACAGUCCGCGAACCGUGAAAACGGCCGAUCCGGCGAAAUUCCGGAACCGACAGUAUAGUCUGGAUGAGAGAAGAU
rnacentral:ncRNA from 1 species